rnacentral:rRNA from 1 species
ACGGCGAAGUGAAGCGGGAAGAAGCUCAUGUUGUAAAUCUGGAUGAGGGUUCCUCGUCCCGAAUUGUAGUCUAGAGAUGCGUGCUCAGCUACUCUCCAGGGCUAAGUCUGUUUGUGAAAGACAGCAUCAUGGACGGUGAUAAUCCGGUUCUUGCCUUGGAUGUUGUAGCGUUUUGAGCCGUCCUCAACGAGUCGAGUUGCUUGGGAUUGCAGCUCUAAGUGGGUGGUAAAUUCCAUCUAAAGCUAAAUAUUGGUGGGAGACCGAUAGCGAACAAGUACCGUGAGGGAAAGAUGAAAAGAACUUUGAAAAGAGAGUCAAAUAGUACCUGAAACUGCUGAAAGGGAAGCGAAUGAAGUCAGUGUUGCGCUUUGUGCUCUGCAUCCUCCCUGCGGGGAUUGUGUAUCGAGGACUUUGCGCUUGUCAGGAUGAGUUCUCUGCCGCGGGAUAUGUUUUGCGUGCUGGACGCUUCGGCUGAACAUGCAUUCUCUGUCGUGGCUUGGACUGAGGUUCCAUCUUGCCUUUGCCUAUGCGUUUAUCUCUCGUCGCUGUCUCUGUUCUACUGCUUGCAGUGCUCAGUUGCCGUGGUUGGACUUGGCGUAUUAUGCAUGCAAGGUCAGGAUCCUGACGAAAUGGCUUUAUUUACCCCGUCUUG